CAUCCUGCAUCCCUUAGGUAUCCAGGGACAUUUGAUUGAUCAGCAUCAAUAUCUUUACUCUCUUAUUUUUUAAAAAGUUCCUGCUUCUUCAGGGAGUGCCACGUAUGCUACAAAGAUAAAUGAAACACAGUCGAAGAGAGGAAACAAGUACACCAGCAGUGUAAUACAGCACAACUGAUGUGUCACAAAAAGUCUUCGAGGAUAUAGAAGAAAGACUCAUUCCUGGUGGGAAGCUCCCAGAGAUUUUUGCAUUGGCCCCAUAUGGCUAUUGACCCCUUCAAUUAUGCUGUUAGCACCUGUACUUAGAAAGAAGGCUUUCAAGCGCAAGAAGAUUUCAGAAUUUCUGGCUAGAGUUUUCUGAUGGUCAUAAAAAAUAAACAACACAUUCUGGAUCUUAAACGGAAGAAAGGAAAAAAAAGAUCUAUUUCAAAAAUGAACAA